rnacentral:lncRNA from 1 species
CUAAACGUAAAAAGAGAAUGAGAAAGAAACAAAAGGAAAUCACCAUUAUUCAGUGCUCUCAACAUCUUGAGUGUUUUCUCGCGUCGUCUCUAAGUUUUUGCAAAGUUUAAAGAAACUCUCUUCUCGAGUCCCAACGAUGGAAUGUAACUAGUAAGAAGCUAGAAGAGCAAUGGACAUUACAGAGAUGAACUUUCUGAGAACGAUUACAUUAUGUGGCGAAGAUAUUUCAUUAACAUAGGUAUGGCUCAGAAUCUGUAUCCAACGGUUCACGGUUUGAAACAAGUUUUGAUGAGAUCUAUCUUUAUAUCUCUACGUCCAACAGAGGAGGACAACCUGAUUGGUAUGGGAUGUUUCAUCCUUGGUUUAGAUUCUUUAGUGGAUGACGAAACAACUAAAGAAACAUUCUCGUUUGCUUCACCCCGCCAAGAACAGGUUUACUCAUGAAGCAGAGAGGCUUUUCAAGAUUCCGAUGAGGAGGACAACAGGAGAUGCAAACUCUACUGAUGAAGCUCAGAAGCUUUUCAAGAACCCUAGUUAGGCAUUUGCUUUUUCCAUUCUUGGAUUUUUACUUUGACGCAAGGC